GUUCAAGGAAUUGUCUGCUCGCUCAAGGAAUCGUUUGGCUUCAUCGACAGAGCUGACAAAGUGAACGAGAUAUUUUUCCACUACAGUGAAUUUCUUGGGGAUAUUGGUGAUUUGUUGAUAGGAGAUGAUGUCCAGUUUGUUGUACAAAAUAGAUAUGGUAAAGAAGUUGCAGUCUCAGUGGAGCGUCUACCAGAAG